rnacentral:rRNA from 1 species
UGGGGAAUAUUGGACAAUGGGCGAAAGCCUGAUCCAGCCAUGCCGCGUGUGUGAAGAAGGUCUUCGGAUUGUAAAGCACUUUAAGUUGGGAGGAAGGGCAGUUACCUAAUACGUGAUUGUUUUGACGUUACCGACAGAAUAAGCACCGGCUAACUCUGUGCCAGCAGCCGCGGUAAUACAGAGGGUGCAAGCGUUAAUCGGAAUUACUGGGCGUAAAGCGCGCGUAGGUGGUUAGUUAAGUUGGAUGUGAAAUCCCCGGGCUCAACCUGGGAACUGCAUUCAAAACUGACUGACUAGAGUAUGGUAGAGGGUGGUGGAAUUUCCUGUGUAGCGGUGAAAUGCGUAGAUAUAGGAAGGAACACCAGUGGCGAAGGCGACCACCUGGACUGAUACUGACACUGAGGUGCGAAAGCGUGGGUAGCGAUACGGAUUAGAUACCCAUGUAGUCCCUGAGCGGGCUGGCAAGGCGCAU